AUGCAAUCUUAUGAUGAAAAACUUAAUUUGGAAGUUUCUAUACCUAGAAAACUUAAUGAUGAGUGGGAACCUACUAUAAAGAUUAAAAUUAAAGAUCAUGAGUGUUUUGCUUUGUGUGAUUUGGGUGCUAGUGUUUCCACAAUUCCGAAAACUUUAUGUGAUAUUCUAGGUUUCCAUGAUCUUGAUGAUUGCUCUUUAAAUUUGCACCUUGCGGAUUCCACCAUUAAAAAGCCAAUGGGAAGGAUCAAUGAUGUUCUCAUUGUUGCAAACAGAAAUUUGGUGCCCGUAGAUUUUAUCGUUCUUGAUAUAGAUUGCAAUCUUUCUUGCCCUAUUAUUCUUGGUAGACCUUUCCUUAGAACGAUUGGUGCGAUUAUUGAUAUGAAGGAAGGGAAUAUUAGAUUCCAAUUUCCAUUAAGGAAAGGCAUUGAGCACUUUCCAAGAAAGAAAGUUAAAUUACCUUAUGAAUCUAUCAUGCGGGCUACCUAUGAAUUUAGUGCCAAAGAUGGCACUACCUAG
rnacentral:rRNA from 1 species